rnacentral:rRNA from 1 species
GUCGAACGCUGGCGGCGUGCUUAACACAUGCAAGUCGAACGGAAAGGCCCUGCUUUUGUGGGGUGCUCGCGUGGCAAACGGGUGUGUAACACGUGAGUAACCUUCCCUUUACUUUGGGAUAACUUCAGGAAACUGGUGCUAAUACCUGAUAGGAGCUCCUGCUGCAUGGUGGGGGUUGGAAAGUUUCGGCGGUUGGGGAUGGACUCGCGGGUUAUCAGCUUGUUGGUGGGGUAGUGGCUUACCAAGGCUUUGACGGGUAGCCGGCCUGAGAGGGUGACCGGCCACAUUGGGACUGAGAUACGGCCCAGACGCCUACGGGAGGCAGCAGUGGGGAAUAUUGCACAAUGGGCGGAAGCCUGAUGCAGAAACGCCGCGUGCGGGAUGACGGCCUUGGGGUUGUAAACCGCUUUAGCCUGUGACGAAGCGUGAGUGACGGUAAUGGGUAAAGAAGCACCGGCUAACUACGUG